CCGCCACUAGCUCAUCGGGAUAGAGCAUCAACCUUCUAAGUUGACGGUACGAGGUUCAAGCCCUCGGUAGCGGACCA
rnacentral:tRNA from 1 species